UGCGUAGGCGGCUUCGUAUGUCGGAUGUGAAAUCCCACGGCUCAACCGUGGAACUGCAUCCGAAACUGCGGGGCUUGAGUGCAGGAGGGGAGAGCGGAAUUCUUGGUGUAGCGGUGAAAUGCGUUGAUAUCAAGAGGAACACCGGUGGCGAAGGCGGCUCUCUGGAAUGUUACUGACGCUGAGGCACGAAAGUUGGGGGAGCAAACAGGAUUAGAUACCCUGGUAGUCC
rnacentral:rRNA from 1 species